UACGAAGGGAGCUAGCGUUGUUCGGAAUCACUGGGCGUAAAGCGCACGUAGGCGGAUUUGUCAGUCAGGGGUGAAAUCCCGGGGCUCAACCUCGGAACUGCCUUUGAUACAGCAAGGCUUGAGUUCGAGAGAGGUGGGUGGAAUUCCUAGUGUAGAGGUGAAAUUCGUAGAUAUUAGGAAGAACACCGGUGGCGAAGGCGGCCCACUGGCUCGAUACUGACGCUGAGGUGCGAAAGCGUGGGGAGCAAACAGG
rnacentral:rRNA from 1 species